GUCGAACGGAGCUUAGAGAGCUUGCUUUUUAAGCUUAGUGGCGAACGGGUGAGCCAUGCGUGAGUAACCUGCCCUAGAGUGGGGGACAACAGUUGGAAACGACUGCUAAUACCGCAUAAGCCCACGGUGCCGCAUGGCACUGAGGGAAAAGGAUUUAUUCGCUUUAGGAUGGACUCGCGUCCAAUUAGCUAGUUGGUGAGGUAACGGCCCACCAAGGCGACGAUUGGUAGCCGGACUGAGAGGUUGAACGGCCACAUUGGGACUGAGACACGGCCCAGACUCCUACGGGAGGCAGCAGUGGGGGAUAUUGCACAAUGGGGGAAACCCUGAUGCAGCGACGCCGCGUGGAGGAAGAAGGUUUUCGGAUUGUAAACUCCUGUCGUUAGGGACGAUAAUGACGGUACCUAACAAGAAAGCACCGGCUAACUACGUGCCAGCAGCCGCGGUAAAACGUAGGGUGCAAGCGUUGUCCGGAAUUACUGGGUGUAAAGGGAGCGCAGGCGGGAAGACAAGUUGGAAGUGAAAACCAUGGGCUCAACCCAUGAAUUGCUUUCAAAACUGUUUUUCUUGAGUAGUGCAGAGGUAGAUGGAAUUCCCGGUGUAGCGGUGGAAUGCGUAGAUAUCGGGAGGAACACCAGUGGCGAAGGCGGUCUACUGGGCACCAACUGACGCUGAGGCUCGAAAGCAUGGGUAGCAAACAGGAUUAGAUACCCUGGUAGUCCAUGCCGUANACGAUGAUUACUAGGUGUUGGGGGANUG
rnacentral:rRNA from 1 species